CUACGGGAGGCAGCAGUGGGGAAUAUUGCACAAUGGGGGAAACCCUGAUGCAGCCAUGCCGCGUGUGUGAAGAAGGCCUUCGGGUUGUAAAGCACUUUCAGCGAGGAGGAAAGGGUGGCGGCUAAUACGUGUCAACUGUGACGUUACUCGCAGAAGAAGCACCGGCUAACUCCGUGCCAGCAGCCGCGGUAAUGAG
rnacentral:rRNA from 1 species